rnacentral:rRNA from 1 species
UACGUAGGGGGGCAAGCGUUGUCCGGAUUUAUUGGGCGUAAAGAGCGUGUAGGCGGCCAGGGAGGUCCGUUGUGAAAACUCGAGGCUCAACCUCGAGACGCCGAUGGAAACCCCCUGGCUAGAGUCCGGAAGAGGAGAGUGGAAUUCCUGGUGUAGCGGUGAAAUGCGCAGAUAUCAGGAGGAACACCGGUGGCGAAGGCGGCGAUCUGGGUAGAUACUGACGCUGAGGUGCGAAAGCGUGGGGAGCAAACAGG